CCUACGGGGUGCAGCAGUGAGGAAUAUUGGUCAAUGGACGGAAGUCUGAACCAGCCAUGCCGCGUGCAGGAAGACGGCUCUAUGAGUUGUAAACUGCUUUUGUCAGGGAGCAAUUGGCGCUACGUGUAGCGUUAUCGAGAGUACCUGAAGAAAAAGCAUCGGCUAACUCCGUGCCAGCAGCCGCGGUAAUACGGAGGAUGCGAGCGUUAUCCGGAUUUAUUGGGUUUAAAGGGUGCGUAGGCGGAAUGCCAAGUCAGCGGUAAAAUCGCGGGGCUCAACCUCGCUCCGCCGUUGAAACUGGCGUUCUUGAGUGGGCGAGAAGUAUGCGGAAUGCGUGGUGUAGCGGUGAAAUGCAUAGAUAUCACGCAGAACUCCGAUUGCGAAGGCAGCAUACCGGCGCCCAACUGACGCUGAAGCACGAAAGCGUGGGUAUCGAACAGGAUUAGAUACCCUUGUAGUC
rnacentral:rRNA from 1 species